GACGAACGCUGGCGGCGUGCUUAACACAUGCAAGUCGAACGGAAAGGCCCUGCUUUUGUGGGGUGCUCGAGUGGCGAACGGGUGAGUAACACGUGAGUAACCUGCCCUUGACUUUGGGAUAACUUCAGGAAACUGGGGCUAAUACCGGAUAGGAGCUCCUGCUGCAUGGUGGGGGUUGGAAAGUUUCGGCGGUUGGGGAUGGACUCGCGGCUUAUCAGCUUGUUGGUGGGGUAGCGGCUUACCAAGGCUUUGACGGGUAGCCGGCCUGAGAGGGUGACCGGCCACAUUGGGACUGAGAUACGGCCCAGACUCCUACGGGAGGCAGCAGUGGGGAAUAUUGCACAAUGGGCGGAAGCCUGAUGCAGCAACGCCGCGUGCGGGAUGACGGCCUUCGGGUUGUAAACCGCUUUCGCCUGUGACGAAGCGUGAGUGACGGUAAUGGGUAAAGAGGCACCGGCUAACUACGUG
rnacentral:rRNA from 1 species